UACGUAGGGUGCAAGCGUUGUCCGGAAUUAUUGGGCGUAAAGAGCUCGUAGGCGGUUUGUUGCGUCGGCUGUGAAAUCCCGAGGCUCAACCUCGGGUCUGCAGUCGAUACGAGCAAACUAGAGUGUUGCAGGGGAGACUGGAAUUCUCGGUGUAGCGGUGAAAUGCGUAGAUAUCGAGAGGAACACCUGCGGCGAAGGCGGGUUGCUGGGCCGACACUGACGCUGAUGCGCGAAAGCCAGGGGAGCGAACGGG
rnacentral:rRNA from 1 species